UACGUAGGGGGCAAGCGUUGUCCGGAAUCAUUGGGCGUAAAGCGCGUGUAGGCGGUCCGGUAAGUCCGCUGUGAAAGUCGGGGGCUCAACCCUCGGAUGCCGGUGGAUACUGGCGGGCUUGAGUACGGAAGAGGCGAGUGGAAUUCCUGGUGUAGCGGUGAAAUGCGCAGAUAUCAGGAGGAACACCAAUUGCGAAGGCAGCUCGCUGGGACGUUACUGACGCUGAGGUGCGAAAGCGUGGGGAGCAAACAGG
rnacentral:rRNA from 1 species